rnacentral:misc_RNA from 1 species
AUGAAGAACGCAGCGAAAUGCGAUAAGUAGUGUGAAUUGCAGAAUUCAGUGAAUCAUCGAAUCUUUGAACGCACAUUGCGCCCUUUGGUAUUCCAAAGGGCAUGCCUGUUCGAGCGUCAUUUGUACCCUCAAGCUUUGCUUGGUGUUGAGCGUCUUGUCUCUAGCUUUGCUGGAGACUCGCCUUAAAGUAAUUGGCAGCCGGCCUACUGGUUUCGGAGCGCAGCACAAGUCGCACUCUCUAUCAGCAAAGGUCUAGCAUCCAUUAAGCCUUUUUUUUCAACUUUUGACCUCGGAUCAGGUAGGGAUACCCGCUGAACUUAAGCAUAUCAAUAAGCGGAGGA